CACCUAUGACUGGUCAUCCAGGGAGAGGAGCAGGAUAUCUGGGUGCCUUCUGCCACAAAUCUCUCUUCAUUCCUGCCUAUUGGGCCUAAUUUAGUACAGACAGAUGAUGGAGAGAUAUGGGGAUUUACUCCGUAAAUUAUAUUGAAUUUGAAUAUUUGCAAUUCAACUAUUUAAGCCUAAAUUCAGUUUCCAAUUUGCUACAACUUGUUAUAUGUAGUCCAAGCUCCCUCAGUCUGCCACAGAGGAGGGUAAUGGCUCUUCUGUUCCCCAUGUUACUCUGGCUACCUAGAAACUUCUCUUCUGAACCUCACACAGGGAUGUAAAUAACAGGUGUGGGUGACUAAAUUUAAUAAUCCAGGGUCCCUGGGCAUGAAUACACAUGAAAGUUACAUUUCUUGCCUGCAACUCGCAGUAACAAAUCAAUAACAGCAGUCACCAGUUACAUCUUCAGCUAAGACGCCUGACUCCCAUCAGUCCCAGGCAGUCUGGGAAAUAAAUGUUCUGGUGCUGCUAAAAAGGUAUUAGUGAGUGUGUGUGUCAGUGUAGCACUCCACGGUUGCUGGAAUGCCAGAGAACAGACAAUCUAGUACUGACAGCUGUUAUGCAUUAAAAUUGCAAUAAGAAAUGUUUUAUUUAAAGAUACAUAAUGGUAAAGCAUGUGUUAAUGAAAAUAUAAUGGCAUCUCUUGGUUCUGGAGGCAUCCAUACACUACGUAAUCCUCCAUGUCAUUGUUUCCCAUUAUGCACUCUUUAUCAUUAUGUAUUCUCUCUCUCACUUUGUAUAUAUAAAGCUUGUGUGUGUUCCCAACAGGUGACUCAGAUGGACCACAAAUUGGAUGAAAUUUUACGUGUCUUCCGAGCUCAAUUGGUGCCAGAAGAGGAUCAGCUGCUUCCCAAAGAGCAGGCGUCCCCAGCCCUUCAUCGGCUGCACCCCUCUCACAGUUCCCCCACUCCCAGCCGCAGGUUCUGAGAACUAACCCUCAACUCUAACCAUCUCCUUAGGGAGACCGAGAGACUGAAUCUGACGGUGUCUGAAUUUUCAGCAGGAGCUGGCUCCUUUUGGGAUGAGAUGUUUACUCUCACAGCUUCGUGAGGCACAAAGCUCCAAUCAGCUACUCUCACUCACAGUUCGUACACGCUCCCUCUUCCAGUGCUUCCUGAGAGACUUCACUCUUACCCAUGGCCCACAAAGGCUGCCUUCACAUUUGUAAGGAACUGUACUGGUGAAUGUCUGGUACAUCUAUGUUAAUGUUGGUUCCAACAAUCAAGUCAUAAAGUACCAUUGUACAGUGCUACGGAAAUUUGCUGGCACUGUAUAAAUAAUAAAAUAAUCUAUACAUCAUCUAAUAACUUAAAGUUCUGCUUUUGAGAUAUAUAGUGGGUGCAGAACACAUAAUCCAGGAUAUUGAGUUCAGCUGAGAUAACCCAUUGACAUACACUAGCACAGGUAACCAGGUGCAGGUAGUUUUGUUCAUACUUUGGCAUUCAAUUUGCCUAAAUGGUAACAUCUUCAAUUCCUGUACAUACAAAUUCUACUGACCCUUAUUCAUUAAAAGUUAUGUAAGUCAAUAAUAUUUAGGUAGUGUACACCCCAUACAUUUAUAUAGUAAAGCAAAAUGUUUCUAGGUCUCAGAUAAUACCUACUAAAAUUUAUAUGAUAAAAUAUUGAGCUUAUAAUGAGCUAAGUGGAAGUUACCAAUUAAGAUGCUAAAAACCCACACCAUCCUGUUUAUAGUGUCAGUAAUGCUGUCACGGAGGUGCAAUUGUUACAAAGAAUAGUUCCCCAUUAAUCCAAAAUGACAUUGGGUAAAUAGUUAUGGUAAUUUCAUGACACAACACACACACGUACCUAAUCAAUGCAUUUCUAUUUAUCAGGAUUGUAGACAUGCUCGCCUUAUUUCCACCUCAUGUGACUGCCACCCCACUACUUACAACAGCAGACAUACUCCCCAUCACCAACCAGGACAUUUAAGGCACAAGAAUAAAAAGUAGUGUUUCAGAGACUGCAUAUGAUAAUGAAUAACUAAGAUUAAAUGAGGUUUAUGUCACCUUGAAUAUUGUCAAUAUUAAUUAAAUCACUGUGGAGACCAAAGUUUUAUGCAAACAAGUCUGAAAGUGAAUAAUUAAAGGCUAUAUAGAAGACCAUAGUUGUGUCAUUGUGCUCAUUAUCCAGUUAGGGACAUAAGUAGGCAAAGGCUAGUCCUGGGCCUAGAGCAAUAGGUCUUUCCCUGUUCGUUUUUUGUUCUAGCAAUGUACUGCUUCUUCCUAAAGCAACCACCUGUUUCCUUGUACUUGGCCUGUUCCAUGUUCUCUGCUGCCACCAACUCAAAAAACCUGCUCCAGUGAUGGAAGCCUGGAAUUCACAGACAUAGUCCUUUACAAGUAUUAUCAUUAGUAACCCGCAUUUCCAUUUUACAUUGUCUGCUGCUAAAAUUAAUGGUUGCCAGGAUGCAAAAUCAUAUGUAGGCACUCAGUAUGCACUGUGAUACUGUGUGAAGAGGAGAAGAAAAGAGUUUGCACUAGCUGAUGCCAACUCCACUCAAUACCACAGUUGACAAAGGCAAACUACCAGGGGAACAGUUGGAAUAUUGCUCAAUUAAAUGUAUGGUUGUAACUGUCUACGUAUGUAUGUUUGUCAGGUUAAUCUACUUAGAAAGUAUGUGUAUGUCUAUGAAUUAGUCGGUGUGUUUCUAACAAGGUUAUUUACUAAAGUAAGAAUUGUCAGAAACCCAAAGGGAAUUUGAAAAAAAAAUUCAAACUUAAGGCCAAAAUAUGUGAAUUGAAAAUAUUCUCCAAUUCAACUAUACUUCCAGUUUGGCUACUUUGGUCUAAAAUGUGAAAUUUGGGGGGCAGAGCCUGAAUGUUGGACAGACCAGACUGGCUCAGCACGAGCUCCCACGCUUGGUACAGAAUAUCGGGGCAUACUACCUGACCACUCAUUCCUGCAGACUGGAGCCUACCUAAUUAUUGCCCGGGGAUGACACUGAACCCGGAGAUACCUAAGAUGGGCUUCCCCAGCCCUUGGACGCUUACCAGAGGCUCGCGGCCUAAGCGAGUAUAGGCAAGGGAGAGGUGGCCGCUCUCCUGGCUCUUAAAUGGACAGAGUAACCCGUGAAUUGCUAUCCCAAUCCCCCCUUUGGAUCGGCAGGGUUAUCUCGGUCCCUACUGACUGACCUCACUUACCUCCAACACCCACGGACGGUAGCUACUGUGUGGGCUCAGACGCUCCCCUUCAAAAUGGCAGAUGGACCUUCCUCAACAGAGCAAAGCAGGUUGCGAUCAAAACCAGUGUUACAAGCCGGAUUGGAGUAAUGCUUGGACAAGCUUUUUACCCACUUCUGGGCGCGACUGGAGGCGCAGAACAGGACUGCACCGGCUAGGAGAUAGGAGGUAGCAUGAGGAGGUGCAUGUGUGCCCCCUUCAGGCGCAAGUACCCAACAAGAUACAGCACCAUGCAGGCAUUGCCCACCUAGGCCGAGGGACGACAAGGGAACUCACCCACCAUAUCGGCCAAGAAAGAUCCAUCGCCGCAGGCGGCAUCAGAAUACCUGGAGCUUUUGUCACAUCCCAACCCAUCCGGGAAGGACUUGGACUCUGCCACGGGCCCCCGAGUCUGUGGUCUUAAAGUGCGGGCUCUCCACAUGGCCUAGGGCUGGAAAGAUACCACACAGUGCACUUGCCUACUAAUGCCUCAGGACUGCCCUCGCCUGUUUCUGAGUCUCGGUGUGGGUAGAGCAUAUUAACCUGGGUCCAGGACUGAUAACAUGUUGCCUGCCAAUAAUGAUUACUACCGACAUGAUCCUGCCUGUAUAUUAAAUAUCUGCCUUAUGUUUCCCAGUGCCUACUCUGUAAGAAAUUAAGACUCCCAUAAAGUGAUUAUGCAAUCAUAUUCAUGACGUGUUGUCACCCUAGCGAAGUCAUCAUGAUUGUCUGAGUUUACCUAGCACAGUUCACUACAGUUUCAGGGAGGGGGUCUCAGUGGUUUACCUAUCUUGUAAACCUAGCAGGGUGCACAACUGCACAACUGCACAACAUGCUCUCUCUUAUCUAAGCAUGUAAAUAUCACUACUGUUAUGAUGCUAAUCUCUCUUAUGUUAACCAGCCACUACGCCUUACUUUCUAUGUUAGUUUACAAAGUUGUUUAUAAUCCUGGGCAGCCCUGCCGUUUUUCUUCGCAUGUUCCAUUUAUUUUUAAUUUUAAUGCCACUAUUCUGUUUUGCAUGCACACAAUAUACUGUAGACAUGUUACGCACCCACGAGUACUCCAUAAUUAUGCAAAGCCUAUGCUUUACUUCUGAUAUGUCUAGCGGUUACCACACCUCAUGUCUACAUGCCCAGCUAUCUUAGCACAUACAGGUGUACUUUCCUGCAGCUAAUAUAACCUUAACCUUAAAAAAACGUGCUGUCUCAUCGAAAUGAAGCAAUGUGAUAUCUUUCAAUGUUCAUAACCUCAUGUAACAUGUUUCAUUGUGUAUUCUACAAUUUCUUGCAUUUGUUGUUGUGACAAUGCAGGAUGUUUUUGUUACUUAUGCACGACAAAAAUAAAGAUUUUCAAAAAAUAACAUUUGAAAUUCACCUUGAACUCCUGACAAAUCUCACUUUAGUAAAUACCCCUGUAAGUUUAGUUGUGUGUGCAUGGCUAAUAUUAAUUGUGUGUACAAGGCUAGCUAUGAACGGUUAGGUUCGGAAAUGUUUG